rnacentral:tRNA from 1 species
UUAGAAAGCGAAUAUUUGCAUUUAGUUUCGGCCUAAACUCUGGGUUUCCCUUUAAUUUUAAUUA